AUGGACUUCUUCCAGAUGGGAAACGUGGAACCUAAGGAAAGUGUUGUAGGGCCCAGGAACCUUUUGGUGAGGGCAGAGGAGACAGGAUGGGAGAGUGGCAAUCUUGUCACACUUGUCACUGCAGUUCCUGGUAAGAGGCUGCUCAUCUGCCUAGUGGCAGCACUGCUUCUGGCAGCCACACUUCUGCUGGCAGCAGCCCUUCCCACCGCCACAGCCACAGGAGCGACGGCAACAGGUGCGGCGGUAGCAGCACACCACGGGGGAGCAGCAUCCACAGCAGUUGCCACAGCCACAGGAGCGACGGCAACAGGUGCGGCGGUAGCAGCACACCACGGGGGAGCAGCAUCCACAGCAGCAUCCACAGCAGCCACCACAGCCACCACAGCCACCACAACUACAACAGCCACCACAGCCACCAGAGCCACCACAGCCACCACAGCCACCACAACUACCACAGCCACCACAGCCACCACAACUACAACAGCCACCAGAGCCACCACAGCCACCACAGCCACCACAGCCACAGCACCCCAUGGUGUCAGCAGAGAGGACUCAGUGCAGUGAGGAGAGAGGACUCAGGAGAGGUCAGGGAGGUCUGAUGCCCCUGCUCCUGCUGGGAGUGGCCCUUUCAUACCACUUUGGGAUCAGAGGGGGAUGGCAUGAGCACAUGGCUCUGGUCACUUCCUUGUGGCUGCUAUUCAGGGUCUCCGAUAAGCUUAUCUGGAUCAUCCCUGUUUAUAACCUCAAGCACUAUACUGGGCCCAAUACAGUCUCUAAUGCUAAGUGUUCUUUUAAAAACCCUUUUCAGAAUUGAUCCAAGAGGCACUAGCAAUUCAGUGUGAAUGUUCAUUUUCACAGAAACACAGAUCUGACUUAUGAUCGCUGGCAGCUCCUCCUUCUUUCCUCCUCAUGGGAUUUCUCUAGAGAACUUCAGUAAAAAUCACCUCUUCUUUAACAGGAAUGCCCCACAGGAAAAAGGAAGGAAUGAAUAUGCAAAUGAAAUUGUGGUUUUCUUCUUUCUGAAAAUGCUCCUGUCAGCUGCUGUGGCCAACCUCACCCCUCAUGACCUUGGUGAUUCCCUUCCUGUGCACCUGCAGGCUCCUGGUUGUGCUUCUCAGGGAUCCUUACACUGAAGGAUGCUGUUUUUCCUCACUCUCAGCUCCCAAAAUGAUCUGUUAGGAGUCUUCCCCUCUAGCAGCCAGAGCAGUGGUGUUAUAGGUUAAGUCUCGGCCUGUGGCACUGGCAUUCCAUAUGGGUGCCGGGUUCAAUGCCUGGCUGCUUCUCUUCAGAUCCAGCUUCCUGCUAAUGUGCCUGGGAAAACAGUGGAGAGUGGUCCAAGUGCUUGGGACUCUGCACUCAUGUGAUGUUAAAAAAACGAACAGGAAUCUUCCUCCCUAUGUAGCCCGGCCCUCUCCCCCAGUGCCCCUCCCUGGGGGCUCUCAUCCCUGCCAUGGACUGAAUGUCCACAAGGCUACAUUCCUGCAGAGCAGUAAACCUGGUGGAAAAGAUAGGCUUCAGGUGCAGAGCCUGCUACACCUGAACAGGGGAGGAUCUUCUCUGCCAC
rnacentral:lncRNA from 1 species